UUAGGUGCAAUGUUCCACCGGCAGCCAGUGUUUCUCAGAACAUGAUCUUUCUGUCAGAGACAAGCAGUGUGAUUGUACAUUAGCAGCACACUGUAAGUAAUUGCUGUUAAUUUACAGCCAAUUUUCAACACUAAUAUACUUUAUUUAUGUCUACUGCGGUUUCAUACUGCAGUUAGCAAUGCAUUGUGGGCUGGUCCAUAUGAUGCAACAGCACAGAGGCCCUCUAGAGUAUGCUAAUGUUUUACAGUGGGCCUACACUACAGUCUUUUUUGGGUACUGGGUGUUACACAGAGAAUACUGGAGCUUGAUAAGACAUCUAACAAUAAAUUGGCAUCAUCUUUUAAUUCUAAAAUAACAGUUUUGUCAAGGUUAAUUUUCCAUUUGAAAGAAUAUUCGGAAAUAAUUUGCCAUUAGUAACUCGUGAGGAGACUUUCUCAGAGACGCUCAUUUGCAAAGCAGUUCUCCAGAGGAGGGCGCCCUUCAGAGGACAUAUGCUACACCUCAACAAGAAGUCCUGCUUCAUCUGCAUCUAUGGGGUUGUGCAUCAACAAAUUAGACGGUAAUUAAAAACAAUCUUGUUUUCCUUCACAGUAUCUUAUUCUUUAAGGUAGCAUUACCAAAAUAAUCUCUGAGAUCAACAUGAUGCUCAGCAAACUGUCUAGCUAGUGAUUGUGUGAUUUUAAAAUGUUACUUAUCAUAAUGUGAAAUAGAAGAAGAAGAAGAAGAUCUGAAUAGCUCAAACCAAAUAUGUACAUGAAUUUUGGAGUUUUGGAGUGUUUUAUCAAAUGCCAACCAUUUUUGAACAUCUGAAUUUCCUUAAAGCUGGAGUGCGGGACUAUUACAUAUAUAUGAACAUCCGUUUCAUUCACGCCCUUGCCAAAUUAGGUCAAACAGUGCUGAUUAAGCCUAUCACUGUCUGUUAAAUCCCUAUUUCACAGUAUACCAGAGUUUUUAAUCUGGUGUCUGUGGCGACAUUCCCGUACUGAUGCAUCAGUACAGCAGUGAUUGGUUUGCCAGAGUUGAAGGACACCCAUAGAGCAUGCACACCAGGGUCAUGGGCUCAUUGUCAGGUAACUACUAUUUACUCUCACUGCCAGAAGGGGCAGACAAAAGUUCCACACUGCAGCUUUAAGAUUGGUAGCAGUUGUUGCUAACUAGUUAGCAAUAACCUUUUGUCCCUUCUUAGCUGCAAAUGCCACUAAAAAAUAUUAAACAUACUUGAAGGUUGGAGUGGUGAUCAAGAGAAUUCAAAGUAGAAAGGUGGUUUAUCUUUUUAGAGUAAGCUUAUAGUAUUUGAGUUUACAUACAAUUAUAACAUUGAUUUUUUUUCACUGUUAAUUUCAUAGUCAACCAAGGUUAACAUUGUGACUUGGUUUAUAAUUAGAAAAGUGUCAGUGCAAAGAUUGAUACAGGGGUACAGAAAAGCAGUCAGUAAUUACACUGGGUUUCUUGUUCACAUAUUUUAGCCUAAUUAACAUCAGUGCAUAAUAUGUUUGAUUAUGCAUUUGGUCAUUGUCACACUAAUUUGAAUGCUGAUGAAAUGGAAUUGACUAUCUGGAGUUAAAGUCUGGCAAUUGUGUAGGCCACUUUAUUUUCUCCCGCAUUGGCAGCAAAAAUGUUCCCCUGUCAGGUCUGCGGUAAUAACUGUGCCACAAUAUUGGCUUAUGUAAGGCACAUGAGAAUUCAUAAAAAUACACCUAAUUUAAUUUUUAAGUGUGUUUUGCCAGAUUGCAGUCGGACUUUUCAAAACUUUUCAACUUUAAAGUGUCACACUUACAGACAUAAAGACAAAUGUGUGGUUAGGCCUACGUUGUGUGGUGUAGUUGAACUAACAUGUCAUAUUGACUUCUGCAGUGCAAUGUGUGAGCCUUUUACUCUCAUUUGAAAAUAUAAAUCAGAGAAGGGGAAACAGUUGCUUGUCCUUAUACUAACUGUGACAGGAGCUUUACAGUUUUAGCCACAUUCACUUCACUCAUGAGUAGGAAACAUAAAAAUGGUGCUAAGGAAAAUCUGGUUGAUUCAGUUGUGAACCCAGGUAUCUCCCAUGAUAGUGAACAAGAGCAGUCUGAUAUGCAGAUUGAUCCUCCUAGUGAUACAGGUGAUAAGCAAUCCGAGGUUUAUGCAGAAAAUACUAAUGAAUCACAGUUCUUGAAAAUGUAGCUCUUUUUUUAUUUCUCUUUGGGAACCGAAAACCGACUCCAAAUUUAAACCAAAUCCAAAAUGAUAAGAACUGGGUACCUGGUAUUAAACAUUUUUUUAAAUUUGGUCCUGCUUAUCGAUUCCUAACUACGAUAACUCUUUACUAUUGCAAACGAAGGCUACAAAUCUGCCAGGACCUGUCUACAUCAUGCAUCAAUGCAACGAUUUGUUUAGAUACAAGUAUGCAUGGCUAUUGCACAAUCACAACAGCUGUGAAAAAAUUGGACUGUGGUAAAAACUGAAAAGUGUAGAUUAGAUUAAAGAAAACAAUAAGGCAAUUUCAGUGCAUGUGGGAAGCUAAUUAGCUUUUAGCAUUUCCUGUAACCCUUUGUUUCUAUGUAUUGACUUUGUUCAUUUGAUUGCAGUUCUAUCAUUGUGCCUUUAUUACUCAGACGGACCCCAAAACUUGGACAGGGUCUUAUUCUUGGGCCAUUUGUCAUACUGCUUUAGUAUUAAAUUAUUUUGCUGCUCUUAAUAAUUCAUGUGGAACAUGCAGCAACCAGUAGCUAUGUAUUUUGGACAUUUCGUGUUUCAUUGCGAGCAUACAGUAGCAAGGAAGGACUGGCACCAUGUUUUUCCUCUUGGCCAUUUGACAUGAUUAUAUUAAGGCCAGCCCCACAAACAGGCUGGGGAAAAACAAGGGUGGAUAAACUCUUGGUGCCUGUUAUAAAAUGCUAUCCACAUGCUACAGCUAAGUGGUGUACUGCCAAAACUUUUCCAGGUAGAAUUAUUGUUCCACACAUUGGAGUAAGUGGAUUACUCCACUUGCAUAUUGCACUUGUAAUGCAGUAGUAGUAGCAGAUCAGAAAACAAGGAGGCCACAUGCAAAAAUAUGAGCAAAUAUACCUGUCAAACAAAGGAAGUAGGAAUAAAGGCCUCUUUCUAAUACAAGCCUGCCUCCAAUAAAGGCCUGGUACCCUCUGCAGUUGAGGCAAAUACAAAAGUGAGUCAGUGUGGGAACACUAUAAGCAAGUACACUCCAGUAUCAGUUCUAAGAAUAUUCUUUGGGAUGUGUGGGAUGGCAGAAAUAUUGCAGCGAAUGUGUUCUUCUAGGCACAUAAGUGUCUACAGCCUUACACGGAUAUAGAGAAGCUACUGUUGUGUUAAUCAAGUGAAUUUGAUAGAUUACUACCCCUUCCUUGAGUACACUGUCAAUGGCACACCAAUGAUUAUUUUUCACCAUUCUUUCCCUUUAUUUCAGAAUGAUGGCUAACUUGAGUGAGGCAAUCAAGGAGAUCAUCUACAAGACCUUGCCAAAUCUCUCUGAAAAGACCCAGUGUCAAAUAAUUUCUAUACUUAAGAGCUCUCGCUUGAAGUCAAAAGAAGAUUCAAAAUAUGCACAGCAGGAAGUCAUUGCUUACCAGUCAUUCAGCUCCGAAAACUCCUGGAUGCAUUUAAAUGGAUUCAAGUUAUUCCAACCUCUACACCACUGAGUAGUGCUUUGUCAGUCUCUCAAGCAUGCCGCCUCAUGCUAGCUGAUCACAGCUGUUAGCAAUUGCAUUAUUGUCAAGCCGGGCAGGAGAAAGUGAUCCAAGUGACAGACCUCCCACCUCUCAUAUACUGAAAAGGUGACCAGAAACAUUCCAGGGCCCUAAAUUGGGAACAAAUGCCACAGGGAAUACGUUCUGCAAUUGUAGAAAGCGAAAGAGAAAGAGACCUAAACCAUUAGGCAGUACCCAAAGAGUUUUGCUGAUAUGACUGAAGACGGGUCACUUCUGGAGGUUAUACAUCACUUUUGAUUCAAGUGAAUUGAGAAUGUGAACUAUGGCUUUAGAUCCAGUUCUACAUACAAGAGAUACCCAACCAACACUUGUGGACAAUCAAGAUUGCAGCCAAAGCUCCCACCAGAAGAAACUAAUGAGACUGUGGCAGAACCACCAAAGACUGCAUGAGAUUCACAGAAAGGAGGGACCACCUGAAACUGAAGAUAGGAGAGGCAUAUGGCCUUUUCUUUCUAAUAAAACGUGCAUAUAUGCUCAUCUUGAGUUGCUCGGAGACAGCUUGGAACUCAGUGUGGAGGAAUGUAGGAAAGCCAUCACAGAAUACUUUAAAAAACCUGCCGACAAAGAAAUGGGACAUCGUAUGGUUCAGCUGCUUAUGGCAGACUUUGGAGAGAGCUGGUCCUUCUUUCAGAUGUGUCCACCGACGCAGUUGAUGUUGAGAUAACCCUAACUCUACCUUAAAGUCCUUGCCUGAUAAAGCUUGUUUCAGGUGCAACAGGGCAAGUCAAUAUUGACCAUGUCAUAUCGGAGGGCAUCACACCAACCUUUUUGACAGGGCUUGCUGCUGUGUUUGCAAUCUACUGUACCUUCAACCUUCAGUAUCUUGAAGAGGCGGACUGUACUCUGGAAUUCAUUCAGAAGUAUGCAUGUUCCUCACGCUUUCCUCACUCUUUUAAGAGGUAAAACCUUAGACCCCCCCACCCUAAUGUUGUUAUUGAUGCAUAUUUUCAAAGUGUUCUUACUAAUGUAUAUUUUCAUGAUGGUCUUAAUGCAAAUUUCUGCAGUGUUCUUAAUAGCACAGUUUGUUUUCCUAAUGUUGCUAACUAUGAUCUUCACAGACAGCGGCUAAUACAUUGUUGCCUUGGUAUUAAUCUGAAGUCAAGUUCAAAUUUGGUAAGAUAAGUCACUAUAUAACAUAUACAUAACCAUUAUAACAAUAAAAUGGAAGGAAUUACAGCUUUUAUUUUGCUAAUCAAAAUUAUUUCUUUGGCUUGUUUCUCUGGAUCAUCCAACAAUUUUGUUGUUACAGCAGCAGAAUUCGUGUUGACUCUGCCCUUUUAAAUAAAAGUUUGUUUGAUCCAUGCCCUUUCUAAGUUGUGUUUUGAUUAUUUGCAUAAUUUUCAUCAUAAUUUAAUUGCAUUGAAAAUUGACAUUUUCUAGAAUUUUAAGUAACCUGAAAUUACUGUAAAUUAAAAUUAUCACAAAAAUCGAAAGAUACUGUGUUUCAUUUUUACUAUAAUAAACUGUGAAAUCAUUUAACUGUAUAAAUACUGUAUAGUUACAGUAUAUUACUGGCAUUUCUGCUGCCAGUAUUCUACUGUAAAUAUCAAUUUUCUUAGUAACAUAAUAACAUGUUAAUAACUUGAGAGUAGACCGUGUUAUUCAUAUUUACUGGUGGAACCUUAAAGUCAUCUGUCCUCAUACUACUGGAUAACCAUUACUAUUUGGAAAGUAUUGACCAAUUUUGCAUUCGUUCAAGUUACAAUUUUCCAAAGAAACUGUCAUGGUAAUUUUAUUGUCUUGGCCAAGUCCAGUUGAGUCGGCAGUGACUGUUUUACUGCUCUUGAUGCACUCCUAUGAAAAGUGAAGAUUCUUGGAAAUCUUCAUCUGAAUAAUUUCUCAGUCCAAUCCUUUUGUGAACUGCCUUCAUCAGGACCACCUGCCAUGGUGUUUCAGACAACAAAUAUGUUCCAGCAACAAAUGGCGGUUGCACAGGUUUCUGAGAAUUUUAACAGCCCUCCAAUAUGUCACAAACUAGUCUUUAAUACUUGGGAAAUGUUCAAAUGACUGUCUUCACAUAGAGUUAGGAUUUUUUCAGGUUCAACCAAAUACAUGCUCUUUCUUGCUCUGAGAAACUUAUACUGUUGAUGAUACCUGUGGUUAUGGUGCCUUUUGUAGCCUUCAGCACCAAGUAAUCAUUCUAACAAAAGAGCUGAAGAUCCAUCUAUUUAUCGCCAAUUAUUCAGGUAUGGGUUGCAGUGGCAGCAAACUAAGCAUUAUAUCAUGUCAAUCUCUUCAGGCAUAUUGUCCAGCUAGUCCUGGCAGAUCCCAAGGUAUUCCCAGGUCAGAUGGGAUACCUACCCCGUGUUGCUCCAAAAUUGUGUCCAUAAGGAAUAUCAGAUGUGACGAUGUCUCCACUUUGCCUUUGUGGAAGUUCUCUGGUCUCCAAUAACUGCAUGCUCUCAUAUAGCCCAUGCAAAACUCAGUAUGCCCAAAAAUUACAUUCAUAUUGGAUCAAUCUGAACAAUGUAUUCUAUGUCCAAUAUUGAUGAUUAUGCCCAAUGCAGGAAGUAGUGUCCUAUAUGUAGGAAGGCGGAAAGCAGUGUGUGAUACCAGAGUUUAUGUCCUGUCACACACCAGUAUUUAAUCUAACCCGUAACCAUUACCUUAACCUUGACAAAGUUUUUCAGUUGCUUAACCUGGACCAUUUCUUAACCAGUUUUUCUGCAGAAUCAUCUAAUUUCAACACUCUGUCUGGCAGUAGGGUCACCAUGCACCUUGCUGCUGCUCCCCACCAUCCAACUGCCUCAUUCCUCCACCUCUUCCAAGACCAGUCAACAUCAUUCUUUGUAUCGGGCCCUUUGUAUAGAGUUUGCCAGAGAGUUGUUGGAGACCCACCAAGCUGCUGCAAAGCUGCGAGUCUUGUUGGUCCAGAUGCUGCUGGCAACACCCGCAUGCUGUGAAGUGGUCAUGACAGCCAGCUCGACUGCCAGUUUUCUGCCAGUUAGACUUUUUGGUCUUUGGAUUCCUUCUGCUGCAGCACUUCUCUUGUAUAAAUGACCAUGUUCUCUUCAUUCAGGCUCAGUGGAAGAUUAUGGAUUACACUAUCAAAGAUUACAUUUUAGUAAACGCUUUAUAUUUCUCUUGUAAACUGCAAGGAUCAAAUACCAACACAACACUGGCAUGUUCUUUAUAGAUGGUGAUAGCUGUAAAAUAUUUGGUCAGUUUUCAUCAAGUUCAAACUCACUGCUAGAUCCCAACAGUAAUGUUUCAUAUCUCAGUUUGAAAGUUUGCAAAUCCAUCCAAAGAAGUGGCUGCAGAUGUAGCUAAAAGUCGAUGAAAUGUUUGAGAUUUUGACAAGGUAUGAGGGUGUCCAGAGAUUGGAUGAUGUGAGAGUGCGAUGAAGUAUUGGCUUGAUAGCAUAUUUUUACUACAGCUUUAUAAAUAUUUCUCAAAGGCUAUAGAAGUACAGCACAACUGUCCAUAUUCAUGUCAUGAGAAAGGCUUGAAUGGAGGCCAAUGUAACUCAUGAAUCCUCAUGCAGGAUACACGUCUUAAACAGGAACAGACCUUUUUGUGGUACAGGGAAUGUAUUUGUCUUUCCCGCAUUACCUUACACUGAGCAGUCACUGAACUGCACAGCGUCCAUCUAUCAAUGCCACAUUUUCCUGUGUUGAAAAAGAGGUGUAUUUCACGAACACUCCAUCCUUUUUCUGAAGAGACGAUGAGGUUUGAGCAGCAGGGUGCUGUGCUUCGGAAAAUAUGCUUCUCUCUGUCUUCCUCGGUUUCUCUCGCUCUCUCAUAUUCUCACUGUCAUUCCUUUUCCCUUCUCUUCUUGUUCGGUUGCCACAUGUACCAGUGGCUGUUUGAGUGAAAUAUCUGGAGAAUCCAUUUGGGUUCUGUCGUCUAUAGGACCCGGCAGCGUAACAGUUUGGCCAAAGGAGGCAUGCUCCCUUCCCUGAACUCUUCCCCUCCAAUCUGGCUGUGUUCAACUUGGCAGCCCUAAGAUUGAUAAUGUGUCCAGAGACAGUGCUGCAACGACAGUGGGCUUUCUGCAGUGAGAGGGCUUUUGCCAAUCCACCUUACGCAUGACACCGGUUAAGUAGCCUAAACUUGCAUUUUGAAGACUACAGAUUUCCUACCCUGACAGAAAUGCUAAAUACUAGUUGGUGGAAAUUCUUUUUUUUUAGGUAAUGAAACAAACUGUGGUCACAGAAACAGAAAAAAAAAAAUCCACAACUGUAGUCAGUUUUUCCAAUUAGCCUGACCUAGAAAUCCUCAGUUGUCUUUGCAAUGCUUUAGCAGGCAGGAACGUGGGGUGAUUUGACUGGGAUGUUCAUUCCAUGAAUCAGAUCUGUUAUGGGAGUUUUUCUGGCUAAAAUGUAAGUGCUAAGUAGCUCUCUGUCCUUAGUCACUUUAAGUUCAUGCUGAAAUGUUCACAUUUGUUCUAGAGUGUGUGUGAGAUCUUUAAUCUUACUGUUUAUUUCUGGCUAAUGAAUGAUGCACACACUCUCAGGAAUUACGACAAGAGGGAAUAAUCCAUCUUUUCUUGCCAAGAGCUAACUGCUGGUACAUGAAGUUCUAAUAAAAAGAGAGCAGCCAAAUGUGAAAUGUGGUAUUUUUUUAAGGUGUUGUUUUGGCUUGUACUAAUGACAUGUGAAUUGAGGAAGGUGGAAAUUGUUUUUAGCAGCCAUUGAUGAGACUUCCUCUUCAGUGUUUGUCCCUGUCAAUUUUAUUCAAAGCUACUGGAGCUGUAGAGAGAGGUAGAAUGUGUAAACAGCACGUCACAUGCAUGCACGCACACAUGCACGCACUCACACACACACACACACACACACAUAACUUGGCCUCGUCCCUCAGCAGCAGGGGAUUAUGUGGAUUACAGGAUGAUCAGGACACCCCCCUCCUCCUCCUCCCUCUCUAGUUUUACUGUGGACCUGAGUGCACAGCGAAAGCCACUAAGAUCUGAAGAAAGACCUCCUGUGUCCUCCCCAACACUGUGAAAAGGUGUCGUUUUCCCAUUAAGACCUGAACUAAAAAUCUCUGACCCUUCUGUGAAUUACUGCCCAGCGGAACAAAAAGGCAUCUCAUGAAAAGGACAGACAGGCGUCCUCCAGAUUUAGACCUGUACAUUAGGUGAAGUUGAAACAUGAGGGAUUUGAGGGCACUUCAGGACUAAAAAGUACUUUUCCUUUGAAACUCAUUUAAUCAGUUUAAUCCAAUCACAUAAUUUAGGACUGCUACAAAGAAAGGAACAGGAUAUAUCUAGUUGCAUUAGUGCAGAGAUCACCAAGAUUUAUUGUGGAUAUGAUUAACCUGUCUGCUGCAUUAUUUCUUAACAUGAAGUUGUCUCAUACAUAAUCUUUCAUUCCACAUGGCAGUUGUAUAGGGACCAGGAAAUGUAGCACACUCUUCAUGAUGUUUACUUAAUUUAUCAACCUUCAACCCUCAAUUUUACCUUUAUUAGGACCAAGACUUUGUUAAUAGAGAGACAGAGACAGUUACAGUCAAGUUUUUGAUCCCUUGCACUUGCCAAAUAGGACUUUAUAGCAGGCAAGAACUUGUUGAAAUUGUUAACUGUUGCAUCUCAGUUGUACAAAAGAAAAAGAUGAACAUUGAACUAUAUACAGUACCAGUCAAAAGUGAACACACUUUCUUAUUCAAGGGAAUAGGACAGUGUGUCCAAAGUUUUGAAUUGUACUGUAUAUAGUCACAAAAAUUUUGGUUGCAAUUGUUUCUGUUACCAACAAAAAAAGAUAGGGUGACAAGGGACAACCCUGUCUACCACCCCUUGAUUUUUACACCCAUUUUUCAUAAUCUUACUUGAGGAUUUUAUAUAUAUAUAUCUUCACCCAAUUUAUUAAAGAACCACCUGAGUUUGUACAUUUAUAAACCUUUUCCUAUUGUUGGAUAUGUUCGCUUUUAUAUAAUUCAGUAAUUUCCAAAAGAUGUCUUAUACUAUCACCAAAAAAAUCUGCCCUUGAUCUAUUAUUAUAACACUCUGAAGAACACUUUUAAGUCUAUUGCCAAUGCAUUUAGAUAAGAUUCCAGUGUGACAGCACAGUAAUAUAAGGAACACUUCACUCAUGCCAUAAACUCUUUGUGGUACCAGUGAUAAAGAGGUAGUUUCCAGUACUUUAGCAGCUCUUAUAGUCCCUGCCCAGCUGUAAACUGCCUGACACUUCGCAGGAAGAGCAGUGCACUGGCUCCAAGAAUCCACUGGUUUUUAUUGACCAUGACCAGGCUAUAAAACUCAGAUGCUUUCUGUGCCACUCUGGAAUGGGGUAAUCCAGCCAUCUCUCCCCAGUGCAGCUCCUUAGAGGAACGAACACUAUGUGUGCUGCGCCUGUCAAAGACCAAACCAAAGAUGUAAGACGGAGCAGUGCAGUGGCAUCAGAUGAAACACUUUAUAAAUUUGAAAAUCUGACACGUUGAAGACAGUUAGUGCUACUGCAUAGUUUCAUGUUAAGAGGGAUGCUGACAGAUUGACAUGUAAUGUAAAUCAUUCAAAGGAAUACUGCACUCCAAAGGGAUACUCUUUUUUUAGUAUCAAACCCUCAUGUGGUUCUGAAAUUUUAUAACCAGUUCAUUGGUGGAGGAUGAGCUUGAAUUCAUGGCAGUUGAAAUGGAGUCAGACGGCAAAAACAUGUCAGAAUAUAUCAAAAUGUCUCCUCAAACCACUCCUGCAGUCUAAAGCAAUGUCUGGACAGACUACAGCCACGCAGCCCCCUCAUGCAUUUCAAUGAGACCCUGUGUUGGCAUAGCAGGGGUCCCAAAGCAGAGAGCUCCCGCAAAAAACAACAUCAUCCGGCAAGGUGCUGCAUUGCCCAUUCAAAUACAGUGUAUACAGCUUGUUGUUCUACAUAUCACAACCUUUUGACUUGCCACAUUGUGCAUUGUAAAUAUCUCAAACAACUUCAGUGCAAAGUCAAGAGGUUAGGAUAUGUAACACAUGCACAGCGUGGUGGCAUCUACCUUACAAGGAACUACUCUCUGAUUUGGAUGUUUGAAUAGAAUUUAUUUUCUGGUCUGCAUAUAUAAAUUCAUAUUUUAUACAUUCAUAAACACAUAAAAAAAGAUACAGAUACUUAGAGUACCUCAAAACAACACAAUAACCCAACCUAAAGGUUUUUUUUUCAGCAGUCUGAAAAAAGGGUGUAGGCUGAACCCGCAGCUUAUAAUGCUUACCCUUUUAACACGUUGUUUGAUCUUGAAGGUAACUUCAAAAAACAAAAACAGAAAAUUAAUAACUAUUUAAAAAUUACUAACAUUAAUAACGUACAUAUCCUGUAUUACGUAUCCUGUAUCCCUCUAUGCUUGCCUUUCUUUCUGAUUGCCCAUUUCAUACUUUUAAUAUGCUAUUUUUUAUUUUAAACGUGCUAUUUUACAUUUUCAGCUCUUCAUUACAGUGGAAUUCACUAAUUGUUUUCUAUGAACUGAACAGACUGAAAUUAAUUAUUAGUCUUUGGGGCCAUUUCUAAACAAACUAACAUGACCCAGUGCAACAGUAUAGCUCAUUUAUGUGUUUUUAAUAACAACGGCACAAUAAGAUAUAUCACACACACCAAGAUUCAUGGACAAGUGGAUUCAUUGGUGUAUUUUUGAUAGAGGCGAAAAGAUUUAAGGAUAUGGCUAGUGAUUUUCUAUAUUUUUCUUAUUGCCAGUAGCCAAACUAAGAAUGAACUGAUUCUUACAAGUAUUCAAUCCAAUUUCAACUAAAUAUUUGCAGCUAAGUAUUUGGUGCCUACCGGUUUAAUAUUGAACAAUCGUUGGCUCAUGUUAGUAACGUAGACCUUGUGAGCUGCCCAGUGUGAAUAAUGCUAACACUGCAGUCUCUCCAGCCUUCCUCCACUCAUGCUGAGCGGGUUAGCUGCUUAGCUGCUCCACUGCAACACACAUUACAAUAAUUUUGUAUUGCACGCUAUUCGUUCAAACAGAUUUUAUGUGAGUUCACAGACAAUCCAUGAAAGGUGCUGCCUUAACCUUGUUACGCUCAGCUGUCUGAACUCGAAAAAAAAACUGUUCCUUCGCUUAAAGUCACAAAUUUUGCAUUGGAGGAAGCGAAGCCGAAAAAUGAUCGCGAGAAAAGGCAUGUGUGGCGUGAGAGCUGUGUCAGUUGCGUGACACUCACACUCAAUGCGUGAGAGUUGGCAGCCCUGGUUUAACAACAGUAACAGAAAACAUCUCUUUGUUUAUGAGGGAUUACAGCAGUUAUCCAUGGAAUUGAAGCAUUUAAAACCUUCCAAGGCUUUUAGACGUGAUUAUUACAUGCAUGUUUUUCCCCAACCUGCCCGAGCUGAUUAUCCUACAUGUUAGAACUGGUGCCAGCUGAUUUUUCUCUCCCUUCCAGCUGUUUGUGCAGCAGGGUUGCAAGCUAUUUUCAGAAUAAUAACGGAUGUUAAUUUGUAAGGCUUUAUUGGGAGGGAUUGAAAAACAGGCCAGACAAGGAGACACGGCCCCAUAUUUGGCUUUCAGCAGCCAUUAUAUAAUCACUAGCCAGGGCUCAAUGUCAUAUUUCUCUCUUUCUAAAUUUCUUGACAUCAGGUGUUAAUAUAACAGCCAAUGCUGGUCCCACUGAUGCACACCACAGGGGAGACAUUGCUGGUUUUGUUUGUUCAGAUGAAAAGAAUGCAUUACAAAAACACAGUGAAAUACCUGGCCAUAAAAGGUGAAUAAAUUAGCAUUUAAAAUUAAUUUUAAAAAAAAUACAUAUUUCAAAAGCUAAACUAAGAUCUUUUUUGUCGUCUGCAUGUUUCGUUCAACACUUCAGUUUGGAAGUUUGAGAUCUGGGUAAAGCCAGUUCCUCUGUUCCCUAAAUAAUGCAGGUGCACGAUGUAUUUUUAGCAUCAUUCUACCUUAUGUGCAACAUGAAAGCCUUCCUAUCGUCUCCCCUUGUCCUCCCACUCAUUCACACCUCCAUUUGCGUCCACCCUGCUUUGUGGUCUGGGGGUCUAAGGAGAAAGAUGCUUCUGUUUCUCAAUGAAAGCUGCUCUCUGUCCAAAACAACAUUGUCAGGACAAGGUAGACAGAGAGCAGAAGUUAAUGUACUUUGUCAGCACUGGCAGGCCUCUGAGCCAAGAGCUAUUAACUCUGAGAGGGAAAGGCAUUUCCUCCUUGUAAAUGCCAUAUUAAAUUAUUAUUAUUUCAUUUGGUAACAGGGAAAAGCCCAUCAGGGUUAUAUUACUCAAGGUGAGCAGGGAAUUGUAAAUGGAGAGUCAGAGUUUUUCUAAAGGCCACCAAAAGAGGGUGGGUUUUGGGGGGUAAGGGAUUUGAAAAAGGAAGUGAGUAUUGACGUCAUGGUAACUUGAUGUGUCAAAAAGAUGUGUCACACGACGUCUUUUAUCGAUUGAAUUGAGACUAUGACAAGAACACUUUCACUUCUUCUGUUUACAUUACUGUUGUUUCUUAGGCAUGGAAGGCAUUGCUCCUCCAUCUUCAGCAUCCAUUUUCUCUCUCUGAGUGGUGCUCAGGCUUUUGCCAAAUGAAAAUGUGAAUGAAAAGUGGGGUAUAGCCAAUGGGGGUGCGGCCUCAAAGCCUCCCUGGCUUUUUCUAUGGUUGAUCGGGCUCAGGGGGCUUGUGGUUUAGCCUCGCUGGAGGGGCCUCUGUGUAAAAAAUACCAAAAUGACUGUGCGUGAUAUUCUGAACAUUUGUGUGACUGUGACACCCCUUUUUUUACGGGGGAAACAGCUGCCAUAAAGGGUUGACGGUGUGCAAUGUGAUACACUGUAAAUUUUGAACGGAAGAAAUCCAUGUAAUUUAGGCUGUUCAUUUAUCAGAGGAAUAAGACCCAUGAUCUGGCCAUUAUCACAGCGUUAUUACAGGUGUAGUGUCUGGGCCACUAGCCACAGUUUUUCUUUGAUUGAUUCUGGAAACAGUAAAGCCUCAGAGAGGAAAAAAAAUCUAACUCAUAGAUGUUGAGGUGUCCCACCCCGUGAGUUAUUGUUGAUACGCCUGUCCUUUUUUUGUGCUGUAUAAAUAUGUUAUUCAACUGCUACAAAUAUUUAAUACUCAAAAUUUUUGUAAUUCUCAAAAUAAAGGGUCCUUAAUUUAAAUCAGUGGGUUUGUAAUAUCUGAACUGAGAAAUGUUGCUUGCAGAUUUUAUCAGCUUUUACUGACAAGUAAACUAAGCUAACAUUAACUCCAGGUAGAAAACGUCCUCUGUGGCUGAUUUUGUCAUUGGGUUAAAACCAAUAACCCUGUCCAGCUGCUUAGUUUACGGACAAAUAGAGAUUAGAUUUACCUGUUAUUGUUUGUAUUUUCAAACAGUAUGUUUCACUUUUAAUGUUAUAGAUUAGGAUGAAGACUAGAAAAUGUAUUUGGCUUCAACAGCACAAGAGCUGCUAGCCUAAACUCUGAUAGUAAUCCAAAACCGACCGGAAAUACUACACAGCAUUGGUGCUAGUCUUGAACACAGUUUUUUUUUUUAAACAACCUGUAACCCCACAAACUAAUGUAGAGUGUGUGUGUGUGUGUGUGUGUGUGUGUGUGUGUGUGUGUGUGUGUGUGUGUGUGUGUGUGUGUGUGUGUGUGUGUGUGUGUGUGUGUUCAAAGUAGUACUGGGUUACUACUGAAGAAAACAAGUUACUGUAGUUGGCUGAACAUUACCAGACAAUCGAAGAUCUCUGUCUACCGAAGUCUGGGGAUUUCUAAAUGCAUGGUAGUUGAUUGAACAGUGGUGAGAAUGGCGGCUAAUAAACUUAUGCUUCUUACAUUUCAUCAAGAACACACCUUACUGGAAAUUAUGCUCACCCCAAUUCUCCAUGUCCCCGCCCGAAUGUGAAGGUCUGCCCUAAAGACUUUGAAUUGGUUCUGCAAUGCAAACUCUCUAAUUGUUUCCACCCGGUUUUAAUCAUGAAACUUGUCCUCAGUUUCUAUGAGUGAAGCAUUUAGAGACUGACCUGUGAGUCUAGCUGAACAUAUGCUGUUGCAGUAAAGCAGACAAUCAAAUUCCCUCCACUUUUUCUCUUGUAUUUUUGUUUUUUGAAGGGGGUAAAAAAAAAACACUCUAAACUCUUUGUGUACGCUGUAUCUGUGUUACUAUCGCCCCAUUCUCAACACUUUAAAAUGUGGAGGAAUCCAAAGCUUGACAGGCCUGCCAUAUCUUAGUCAUGGUUGCUAAACUAUAACUCAAUAAUCAAUGUUUUGGGAAGAGGGUUUAGCCAACGUUCAACUUCUAAAAUCUGGCCAGCUCUUAAAUACUGUUUGUAUGACUAACUCAUCCUGCUGUUCU